AUGAGCUCAGUUGUCUCUGUAUCAGCAUCCUUGUGGAAUUGUCCUUCAGUUGGAUGGUAGAUGGCUCCUGCAGUCUGGAAGGGCAUUGCAGAGGCACCUUGCUCCCUGGGACAUCUCAGGUCUGCAGAGCAAACAGAGGAUGGCUGCAACGGGUUGACGUACAGGGAUUGGGACCUUGAACUAAGGUGAGGGGACCCACCUGCAGCUUGGGCUGCUCCAGUGCACCUGCUCUUCAAGUAGAGCCACAGCAGGACCCCACUCACCAUCACCAUCAGGGUGAGCAGCGUUAUCAGCGCAGAGCAGGAUGAUGGAGAACCUGCAGGGAGAACCCAGGUCAGGAUCCCACUUCCAGCCAGCAACAGUGAUGGGAGAAAAUCUGACACCAAACAGCCUCAUACCUCAGCAUUUCAGUGACUAAGGGCUUUCCUUAGAUUUUGUAUUAACCCACAACUAAUCCCUUUCUGAUCCAGUUUGUGCUGCCUGCGAUGCUGUGGUGGCUGCAGCACUGCACUAUGUCCUUUGUGUGGUUUGUACCCCACCUAAGAUCAUCUCCCUGGGUAUCUGAUAGGCAGUAGGCUUUGAGAAAAUUUUCAUAUUCCUCAGUCCUGCUGUGCUGAUAAUCUUACAAGACCACCAUCACCUCACUGGUGUGCUGUUCUCUAUUAUAUGGAAUCAAAGGCUAUGCAUAGAAAAGAAAGGCAUACUUCUGAUCCCCAUCCAUCAUUCCUGUUCUAACCUAUUUCAGAAAAGCUGUCAGGAGAGCACAGAGAGUCCUUGAGGGCUGAGAAAUCUGAGCUGCAAGAGGAAACUGGACAAAUUAGCUUCUUCUAAAAUCAGAAAAGCAUCUCUGAUGCUCCAAGAAGUGAUAUCUGGGUUCACUGUAGAAAACAAACAAUAUCCACCAAGAAAAAGCUUGCUCUGACAAGCACAUGCCACAACCUUUAUACCUCUCCUUCUGAAGUGAAAGGGCUGCAUCCACCCCUUUGGCUGCUCUCCCCACUGCUGCAGAUGGUGGGAUUUGGCACUCACCUCUUGGCUCUGUGCACACCACACUGGCUGCCACACCGUGCUGGCACAGCCCUGGGCCGAUCUUGUUCUGCUGGCACUCCAGGAAGAGUGACUCAGCACCACGGCAUUGCAGCCCCUCCAGAAAGAUGUAGUUGUGAUUCUGGCUGAUCCGGGUUCCUGCACUUUCAGCCUGUGCUGGUCCACAGCCCAACUGCUUGCAGACCACCUCUGCCUCCAGUGAGCUCCAGCUUUUGUCACAGAUGCUGUACCAGGUGGCGUUGUACCGAACCUCCACACGCCCUGCACAGGGGCUUGAGCUGUCCCGCAGCCGCACCUGCAAGGGGUUGGUGCCUGCAGGGAAGAGCAAAGGGUGUGAUGUGGGCUCCUCAAGCAGCAGGGGGACUGAGAGACUAAGGGAUGUGCAAGAUACAUGUGCUUUGCAUGCCCAUGCACUCCAACAGGUAUGGACAAGGAUGCAAUAUGCUACCUAUGCUCACUGCAUGAAUUACCCCUUUCAAGAACAUCCCCAUCAUCUCACACAUCUGCACAUAAUGUGGUGCCGUGGGACCAAGUCGGAGCUGACUACAUCCCAGUGCAAGAAAAACUUGUGCAGAACCUCUGUGUUCCUGAGUAUGGUUCCAGCAUCAUCCCUGUGAUCACCUGAGCACACCACUGCCGCAUCUUCCUCGUGGUUGCAGUUAUGGUUUCCCCAGUUAUUCAGUCUGCACUGGGAGAGGCUGGCUUCAGUGCCACUGCACUCCACAUCAUCCAACCAGAUGGGAUCAGACCCUCGUCCGAAGUGAGCCUUGCCCGGAGCUGAUACCGCUGUGCCGCAGCCCAGCUGCCGGCACACCACCUUAGCACUCCUUAAAUUCCAGCUGUCAUCACACACUGUUCCCCACUGCCCGUUGUGAAACACCUCAAUUCUGCCAGCACAGUGAUUCGGGCCAUUCACCAACCGGAUCUGCAUUUCUUCUGUGGUGUUGGAGUCUUCUGCAGCGGGAAAUGUGUGGUUUUCUGUUGAAGAGAAAAUAAGGCAUCUGUCAUCUGUCACUUUGCAUCACUGAAAAUAAAAAUUAAAAUUAAAAAAAAAAAAAAAAAGAAGAAGAAGAAGAAAGUGCUAAGAGUUGCUCAGGUUCCCCCCUGGAUGGAGGUGUGUUGUGGUUUAGCCAAGCACCACACACGCUCACUCCCCGCCCCUUCUCACUCCUUCUCAGUGGGAUGGGGGAGAGAACUGGGGAAAAAACAAUGUAGAACUUGUGGGUUGAGAUAAGAACUAUUUACGAAGAUGGGG